rnacentral:lncRNA from 1 species
GGAAGGACAGGCCCCUCCUGCGGCUGAGGGAGGCCGCUCCCCGGAGGCCCCCACCUUGGAGAACAGCAGCCCUGCCCAAUAGUGAAGCAGGUCCCGGACCCCAAGAUGAGCCACUCGCCUGCAGGGGACGGUGACACAAAGAUGGGCAGAGGCUAGAAGCCUGGAGAGGGUGGCAGGGUGUGGUCCUCUCCCCAACACCCUUUAAUGAGGGGAAACAGGCUCGGGGUUGUGGGCCCUGAGCAAGGAGACAGUUGUUGCUACGGGAUCUGAGAGGCACCCCCGACUCUCAGAGCCCCCAGAGGGCCAGAGACACCGGUGAGGUCCGUGACCCCUGGCAGGCACCCUCCCCAGGAAGACCAGGGUGGUUGUUGUGGGUCCACAACAGGAUAUCCAGAAAUUGCCUGCAUGUGGCCCUGGCAGGGACCCAGGCCAGACUGCCCAGCUUCCCUCCCUGCCCUCUUCUGUGACACCCCCAGACAGUCACCCUGUGUGGGAGAGCUCAUCUCAUCUGGCUCCACCUCCUUUCUCUCCUCUUGCUGUCUGCUUGUGAAUGAAGAACCCAGGUCACAAUGUGGCUGGGCCAGCUGCCAGCCCCUUGACCCUCACUCAGUCCCUUGUUUGUCCAGAGAUAACGAGGCUCCAAUGCUGUCUGUGAAAGGGGCGUGUCCUCUCGGCGGGCAUGGGUCAGAGUCAAAGGCACGGCUAACUGUGAUUCUGUGGACUGAGCACCACCUCGGUAGCCUGCUGGUCACACCCCAGGGCCAGGGCCACUGAGACCAGCGAAGCCGAGUGGUCCUGAGCCCUUCACGCCCGGCAGGUAGACGGCAGCCGCCGGACCCAGGUCAGACUCCUCCUCAUGCUGACCCAUAACCCACGCACACCCCGGGCCCUAUUUGCCUCAGUUUACCCUGUCUUCCUUGUCUGGAGCCUGUGGAUGCAUCCCCGCGGGGCAGGCACAGGCCAGCACCCACCCUGCCUACGCAGGGCCAGGACCCACUGCAGGCCUUGCCAUUGGCUCCCGCUCCCCAUUUCCCCAGGACUGCGGGAUCAGUGAUGCCCGCCAGCCACCAACGUGAUGAGCCAAACAGCACCCUCUUCCUUCCAGGGGCACAACUUUGAUGAUGGCAGAGCUGAGUCUGUCCCCUGGUCCCUGAGUGUCCUCAUCCCGUGUCUAUAAACCACCGAAUGUGCUGUUUGCCCCUUUCUGUCCUUUCCCUUCGAAGCCUCAGGAGCGAGUGGAGCUCACACUGGCUUCUGAGACCUUUGGAUGUCAAGCUCAUGGGGCCUGCUGUGCCCUGAGCAGCAGCAAUUUCUUUCUGAGGAAAUCUUCCUAACAGUCCUUGAGCUGCUUCCACAUUUCACGCACCCUGGGAGACCAGCC